rnacentral:lncRNA from 1 species
AAAACACCGAGGGGCAAUCGCGCAAAUUACCCAUUUAGGGUGAAAACGCGCGGACCCAACCUGCGGGUCGGGUCGACGCGCGGACCCACCCCCAAACCAAAAGGUGUCGUUCUGUCCUUAGGUUUUAAAACAGUUUUCUUCCUUUUUUUAAAAAAAAUAUUUGUAGUAGAAAGAAAAAUAAAUAAAAAAUAAAAAAAACAAAUGCUCUCUGCUAGGGUUUCUUCUUAACCCAUUUUGCGCCGCCGUUCGCUUAUGCCAACACUCCGAUCGCGACGGAGAUGGCAACCAUCCAACGAUUUCAACGAAAAAGGUAAAAUCCCUUUCCUCCUUUCUUUUCUUCGUAUUUUUAAGCGGAAUAAAUAAAUAAAAAUAAAAUAAAAAAUGAAACUACGAAUGAAGAAUACCAAAUGGAAAAAAAAUAACCUUCUGUGUUAAAAAAUUUUGUAUCUC